GACGAACGCUGGCGGCGUGCUUAACACAUGCACGUCGAGCGGUAAGGCCCUUUCGGGGGGUACACGAGCGGCGAACGGGUGAGUAACACGUGGGUGACCUGCCCUCAGCUCUGGGAUAAGCCCGGGAAACUGGGUCUAAUACUGGAUAUGACUCCAUGACGCAUGUUGUGGGGUGGAAAGCCUUGUGCGGCUGAGGAUGGGCCCGCGGCCUAUCAGCUUGUUGGUGGGGNGAUGGCCUACCAAGGCGACGACGGGUAGCCGGCCUGAGAGGGCGACCGGCCACACUGGGACUGAGACACGGCCCAGACUCCUACGGGAGGCAGCAGUGGGGAAUCUUGCGCAAUGGGCGAAAGCCUGACGCAGCGACGCCGCGUGAGGGAUGACGGCCUGG
rnacentral:rRNA from 1 species